rnacentral:rRNA from 1 species
GAUGAACGCUAGCGGCAGGCCUAACACAUGCAAGUCGAGGGGUAACAGGGAUUAGCUUGCUAAUUUGCUGACGACCGGCGCACGGGUGCGUAACGCGUAUACAAUCUACCUUAUACAAGGGUAUAGGCUGAAGAAAUUCGGAUUAAUCCCCUAUGUGAUAUAUGUAUUACCUGAUGUAUAUAUUAAAGUGAUUAGCGGUAUAAGAUGAGUAUGCGUCCUAUUAGCUAGCUGGUAAGGUAACGGCUUACCAGGGCUAUGAUAGGUAGGGGCCCUGAGAGGGGGAUCCCCCACACUGGUACUGAGACACGGACCAGACUCCUACGGGAGGCAGCAGUGAGGAAUAUUGGACAAUGGAGGCAACUCUGAUCCAGCCAUGCCGCGUGCAGGAAGACUGCCUUUAUGGGUUUGUAAAACUGCUUUUAAACAGGAAGAACUCCACUUACGUGUAGGUGGCUGACGGUACUGUAAGAAUAAGCAUCGGCUAACUCCGUG